rnacentral:tRNA from 1 species
GCUAGCGUAGCUUAAAAAAAGUAUGGCAUUGAAGAUGCUAAGACGAGCCCUAGAAAGCUCCGCAUGCA